rnacentral:misc_RNA from 1 species
GAUGAAGAACGCAGCGAAAUGCGAUACUUGGUGUGAAUUGCAGAAUCCCGUGAACCAUCGAGUCUUUGAACGCAAGUUGCGCCCGAAGCCACUAGGCCGAGGGCACGCCUGCCUGGGCGUCACACGUCGUUGCCCCCCCCCCAUCUACUCCUUCGGGAUUGCGGGGGGCGGAUGAUGGCCUCCCGUGCGCCUAGCCGCGCGGUUGGCAUAAAUACCAAGUCCUCGGCGACGCACGCCACGACAAUCGGUGGUUGCGAAACCUCGGUUGCCCGUCGUGUGCGUUCGUCGCGCAUCGAGGGCUCGAAAAAAUGCUCGGCUCCGGCUCGGCUUUCAACGCGACCCCAGGUCAGGCGGGGUUACCCGCUGAAUUUAAGCACAUCAAUAAGCGGAGGA